rnacentral:rRNA from 1 species
UACGUAGGCAGCGAGCGUUGUUCGGAGUUACUGGGCGUAAAGGGUGUGUAGGCGGUUGUUUAAGUUUGGUGUGAAAUCUCCCGGCUCAACUGGGAGGGUGCGCCGAAUACUGAAUGACUAGAGUGCGGGAGAGGAAAGUGGAAUUCCUGGUGUAGCGGUGAAAUGCGUAGAUAUCAGGAGGAACACCUGCGGUGUAGACGGCUUACUGGACGGUAACUGACGCUGAGGCACGAAAGCGUGGGUAGCAAACAGG